rnacentral:misc_RNA from 1 species
GGGGAAAUUUAGCCUUAUUCCAACGAUUUUUUAGCAGGCCUCUCUCCAUCGGUAGCAGAGCAGCCACCGCCCCUCCAGUAGCUCACCUCAUCUCAACGCUCCCUCAACGGCGGAAUUGCCGGCGGUACUCUCUCUAUAUGUAAAUGAAAAAAUAUAUAUACAGCGUAGCCACUGUCUCUUCCCUUUCUCUUGCAUCGUUUUAGCAUCUGUUCUUAGGCCCAUGAUAUUCCUAUUUUGAAUUUAAGUGGAUUUUGGCAUUUAGAGCAAAAUAAAAUAAAAUCACACUGAGAAAUGAUGAUCUUCUUCUUCAUUCAGUCAUGCUCAUGAGAUUCUUCGUUUCCUAGAUUUACAAAAAAAAAUUGAUCUUCAUCUUGAUUUAAUCUUGACUAGAGCUAGGUAUUUUUAAUAUUUUUUAAAUAUUUACUACAAUUUGUUUUUGUGUAUGUAUGUGUAUUUUGAUGAAGGAACUAUAUAAAUUGUGUACGUCAACAAUUUGAAUAUUUAUCGAUUUUGUGUUGUGCACAUUUUGCUUGAUUGCAAUCUGAGGAUUAAUAUUUUCUUAUUUAAAUUUUGAAGUUAGAUAUACUUGUAAUGCUUUAUUGAUUAUCCCAAGUAUUUGCUGAAAUUGCAUGUGAAAUCCAAGAACAAAAAAACAGGAUGAAUUCAUUGAUGGCUGAUGUGUUUGAGGUAAUUCUGUUAUCACAGGUGUAAUCAUCAUAUGAUGCUCCCUUGAAGGAGUUUAAUUUUUGUCUUUGUGAUAGGAAAUUAAUUCCUAUCUUGAAAAGGUACUUUUAGAUGGCAGGAAAGGCCUGCUUAAACUAAGUGAUUAAUUGAAAAAAUAGGAUAACUAUUCUCUUGUUCUAUGGCCAUGAUUCUUUAUCUUGGUUAAAACAGGAAUCUGAACCUCCAGACUCUGAUUGUGCAAAUUAAAGCUUAAUACUUUUCCUUGUUGGAGUUAAUUGUCAAGUUAAUGUCUGCAAGAGGGCAUAUUCCACCAUCUUUAGAGGGACGUGUUGUACAAGCUCGUGGGUUGAUGCGACAUGAUCCAUUUCCUCCUGGCCACCAGCCAUUGGACAGAGCUGCUCCUCCAAAUCUUUUAGAGAAUAAGAUUGCUUCUCAGGCAGCUGAGAUUGAACAAUUCGCAGAGGAUAAUCGUAGAUUGGCUAAUGCCCACAUAGCCUUGAGGCAGGACCUUGUUGCUGCACAGCAGGAAGUGGAAAGACUUAAGGCACACAUAAGAAGCAUCCAUACUGAAAGUGAUAUCCAGAUUAGGGUUUUAUCAGAUAAGACUGCAAAAAUGGAAUCAGAAAUAAGGGCUGGUGAGAAUGUGAAGGAGGACCUCAAACAGGCACAUAUGGAGGCACAAAGCCUGGUCAAAGCUGGACAAGAGCUGACUACCCAAAUCCAGAAGGCCUCCCAGGAAUUGCAGAAAGCUCGUACUGAUGUUAAGACUGUACCAGAUUUGCAUGCUGAGCUUGACAAUUUGAGGCAUGAACACAAGAGGUUGCGGGCUACAUUUGAGUAUGAGAAAGGUGUAAACAUAGAAAAGGUGGCACAACUGCAAGCAGCGGAAGAGAAUUUAAUUGGGAUGGCAAGAGAAGUGGAAAAGUUGCAUGCUGAGGUCUUGAACGCUGAAAAGAAAGCACGUGCAUCAAACACCUAUGGCAGUGGGUUCGUGACUCCCGAUCCUUCGUACCCGGCCCCCGUACAUGGUGGUGGUGUCUAUGUUGAUGCAUAUGGAAGGCCUCUUGUUCAGAUGAGUGUUGGGCCACUAGUAAAUAGUGCAGCAAUCACCGGUGCAAUUGGUGGUACAGCUGUCUCUAGUGCUGGUGGUGUUGCUGUCUGGGGAGGGCCUUAUGCUCCAUCAUUUUCUCAGAAAUGAGCAUGAAGCAUAUUUUGUCAGUGGCUGUCAGUAGGCCUUAUGUCUAGCAUUAUGGGCUAACUAUAGUGCCAUUUUGUGCGUGAAUUGCUAGUUGGUGAAUUUGGUGAAAGCUUCCAUGAGAGGCUGUUUCGUAAGCUUCCACUAAUGCUUUGCAUUUCUAAGAUGCAUUGUGUUGGAGUUAACUUUAUUGUAUAUUAUUAGUUUUCUUUGGGCAUCUUUAUUACUGCGUGAAUAUUUUAUCUACAUAAUAAAAAUAUAUGAAAAUUAAAUUUGAUUAAUCAGUGAAGGAGAGGGAUAAAGGGUGAAGCAGUGAAGGUGAAGGAGAAGAACGUGAGGAGGGACAGAUGCUCAGCGGUGGAGACUAGGGAAAGGUGGGAUUGAAGUUUAAAAGGAGGCCUUGGCAAGCUUUGGUGGUCUCGGAUGCAGGGGAAUUUUUAGUUUUUUUCAUUUUUUUACAUUAAAAUAAUAUUAUUUAUAAAUGGCUUUUGAAAAAAUUUCUCGCCUUACUAAUUGCGCGUAAUUUUGAAGCACCAUUAUGUUACAAUUCAGUUGCGAUUUUGGUACGACUUAAUUUAGAUCCUGAUUUUAAAA